AGAGUUUGAUCCUGGCUCAGGAUAAACGCUGGCGGCGUGCCUAACACAUGCAAGUCGAACGUCCUCCCCCAACUACGGAAGGGGGAGGGAGUGGCGGACGGGUGAGUAACACAUGGGUGACCUGGCCUUUGGUGAGGGAUACCGGCGAGAAAUCGCCGACAAGCCCGCAUGGGGUCUCUUUUGUAGAGGGGAGAGAGCAA
rnacentral:rRNA from 1 species